rnacentral:misc_RNA from 1 species
GGCCAUCCAGGCAGCUUUUUCCCCAAAUACACAUAACAGUUAGGAAAGCUGCAAGUUUUCGCAGUUGGCCAAAAACGUCCAGUUCCAGCGCUGAGCCAGAAAAUUCCUGCGAAAGGCUGUCGUGGCAAGUGUUACCCGCACACAUACACAUCAUCCAGAUCCAGCCAAUCCCCCCGUGGAGUGGAGUGAAUUUUCAUUGACGACGGGGCGAAAAAGCUCUGGCGGAAGAGCGACAGAGAGAGAGUGAGAGGCGGCACUGAGAGCGCAACCCUCUAGAACAAAAACAACGAAACAGAGUUCAGCUGCACCACCACCCACCACCUACACCACCACCAACGCCACCACCGCCCACUGACCAUUCCACAUCCCGACCUGCGCCAGUGGAAGACAGUGAAAGAGGCCAAGUGCACAGUGCAUAGAGUACCUUCAUCCUAAUCAUCGCCAGCCGAAUUCGCUGAGGCCACCAGAGCACCACCAGCCAACCACAGAAGCAACCACACAGCCACCAGAGCCAUAGCCCAGAAGCCGAGUUAAAGGUCAAAGUUUUUGGGGGUCUGAGAUGGGCAAGAAAGACAAGAACAAGGAACAGGCGGACGCUGCACCAGCUGGCGAUGCACCACCCAAUGCCGGAGCUCCGGCCGGAGAGGGCGGCGAUGGCGAGAUUGUGGGCGGACCACACAAUCCGCAGCAGAUUGCGGCACAGAAGCGUCUGCAGCAGACGCAGGCGCAGGUCGAUGAGGUCGUGGACAUCAUGCGCACGAACGUGGAGAAGGUGCUGGAGCGCGACAGCAAGCUGUCGGAGCUGGACGACCGUGCCGAUGCCUUGCAGCAGGGUGCCUCGCAGUUCGAGCAGCAGGCGGGCAAACUCAAGAGGAAAUUCUGGCUCCAGAACUUGAAGAUGAUGAUCAUCAUGGGCGUGAUUGGCCUUGUUGUCGUGGGCAUUAUUGCAAAGAAAGACGAAGAAUAAAUACACAGAAAGCUUCAGCUUUGUACAAUUUUAUUAACCAUAAGCAAAUCAAUUUACCCAAUAUAACACUUUGUGUGUGAGAUAAACUUGGACUCAUAGGCGGGGAGCAGCCGCCACAGUACCAGUACCCCCCACAGUACAUGCAGCCACCGCCGCCGCCUCCGCAGCAGCCAGCCGGAGGACAGUCAUCGCUGGUGGAUGGGGCAGGAGCAGGAGACGGAGCAGGAGGAUCGGCAGGAGCUGGCGACCACGGCGGCGUGUAAGCAGUCCCGCUGCCAGGACGAAAGUUUCUCGAUUAGUGUGCUCCUCCAGCGGGCGAAAACGAAGCAGAGAAGACAAAAAAAAACCAAGAAAGGAAAACUCAGUUAAACUAGAAAAUCUCGAGAAUUGCAAUGAAACUCAAUAAUAAUUUCCACUUAGACGAUGUGCACGAGUUGGUGUGAGAGGUUUUAAGUAACUUACGUCAUAAUAUUAAUACUAAAUCUAAUGCAGACGCUCCGGACAAUUUGAAGUUGUUGCUAAUUUGUUUAUGGUUACAUUAUUUCAUGCAUAAAACGGUAUAUAUAAUUAUAAAUAUAAAUACAAUCUAAAUACAAAUACAAAUAUAUGGAACUUGAAUAUUACGAGUGACUCCAACCACUCUGCGCUGCACUGGCAACAAGGAGCGCCAGUGGAAGCAGGAGGACAGGCGGUCGCUUCCCGAUGUUCGCAGCUCUUUGAACUCAGUUUCCUUAGCAAAUCGACUAGACAAAACAAACAGAAUCAUAACUAUUUCGGAACAGACGCGAAACCAAAGAAAUGAAAUCUAAGCUUUGUUCCUAAGUAAAGUUACGCAAAUAUGAUAUUCGAAAUGUAUAAUCCAAAAAGAUGAAUUUGAAUCGACGGGCCGCCAGAGAAAACGCAGUUAAAUGUUUUCAAGCAAGUUUACUUAUACAAAAACAGCAAGCGAAGUCGGCUGGAAAAAAAACAAACAAACAAAUGAAGCCAGCAGCAAAAGCUGAUAAACCCAAAGUCUAGUGAAAAUAUACAAGCGAUUCAUUUGCUGCGUUUUGUUUACGUGCGCUAUCAUUACUGUUGUGUUUGAGAAUAGCUCGAAGGGUUCGAUUGAAAGCGGAAUCCGGACAGUUCAACGAUUAAAUUAAGCGCUAGACACAAAUACGUUGGUUAUCCACAGGACUUAGUUAGCUCGACGAGGCAUACAUAUAUGUUUGUAUAUUUCAAUGUUACGAG